rnacentral:lncRNA from 1 species
ACAUUCUGCAUUUCCACUUAAACUCAGAUGGCAAGCCCAUCAAACCCUGGUGCCAUGGCUGCCCUGGUAAUUCCUGGCUGAUCAGUGCAACCAGGGAGCUGGCCCAUGACCUGGGUGGCAGCUGAGUAGCCAGGACUCAUGCGGCCAAGAGUCAGCCUUCUUCCUGUGACUCAUCCAGGUGCACCCUGCGAUAUCUGAAGGUCAGGCUUUCAGCCGCUGUGGCUUCCACUUCCAACUGGCUCCACGUCCCCAGGGAGGGAUAACAUAGAGCUUUGCCAACACAUUCUAUUGCGUGUUUUAAUGUUCCUGUGAAUGCGCCCUUGAGAUUUCUCUCUCUCCCAUCCACACUGAGCUUAGAAGCAAAGUUAAAAGACUCAUCAGAUUCUGAGCUGCUGCGGGAUAUUUUGCAGAAGCCCUCGGGAGGCUCGGUCACACUCUCUGAGAGCACAGCCAUCAUCUCCCACGGUACCACAGGCCUGGUCACAUGGGACGCCACCUUGCAGAAUGGGCCAUCGAGAACCCGGCAGCCUUCACUAACAGGUGACCUCGGGGCACAGGGCAGGGCACCGAGGCAGGCUUACCCUGGUGCAGUCGAAGACACGGUCCCCUUUCCUCCCGCCAGGACUGUCCUUGAACUUGGCAGUGGUGCCGGCCUCACAGGCCUUGCCAUCUGCAAGAUGUGCCACCCCUGGGCAUACAUCUUCAGCGACCCUCACAGCCGGA